UGGGGAAUAUUGCGCAAUGGGGGAAACCCUGACGCAGCAACGCCGCGUGAGUGAAGAAGGUCUUCGGAUCGUAAAACUCUGUCAUCGGGGACGAAGAAGUGACGGUACCCGAAGAGGAAGCCCCGGCUAACUACGUGCCAGCAGCCGCGGUAAUACGUAGGGGGCGAGCGUUGUCCGGAAUUACUGGGCGUAAAGAGCACGUAGGCGGCUAUAAAAGUCAGAUGUGAAAAACCUGGGCUCAACCGAGGGUAUGCAUCUGAAACUAAAUAGCUUGAGUCAAGGAGAGGAGAGCGGAAUUCCUGGUGUAGCGGUGAAAUGCGUAGGGAUCAGGAAGAAUACCAGUGGCGAAAGCGGCUCUCUGGACUUGAACUGACGCUGAGGUGCGAAAGCGUGGGGAGCAAACAGG
rnacentral:rRNA from 1 species